rnacentral:lncRNA from 1 species
AGGAGGACCCUCUGGCUCCCUGAGGUCACGUCUGGUGCACAGCAGAACCAGAUUUUGACCCACGUCUGUCAGGCUUCAGAGCCCUUGGCCCUGCCCUGCAUUUGCCAGGGGUACAGGUAUCUUCGAGGUCAACAAAGAAGUCCCAGUUAUCCUCUUUCCACCCUUUCCGGAUCCUGACCUGGAUGGACAGCAGCCCUGAGAAGAGAGCGGGGUGUGAGCCUGGAACAGAAGGAACGUCUUACGAUGGGAAGAUGAUUCACUUGUGCUAUUUUUAUUCUGCCGACAGCGGCGUCACCACCUCUCUGGGCCUCAGUGUCCUGGCCUGUGAAAUGAGUGGGAAGAGACAACGCCUGCAAUCUCAGCUCGAGACACUCUCUGAGAGCCUUUCUAGUUGCAGGCCCCUGAGUCUCAUUAUGCCAAGAAACUGAUUUCGGAGAAGAAAUAGCCGCCUCAGCCCCCUGCCGGGAACCCACAAAUUCAGCGUCGCAGAGUAGGGCAGUGAAGUAACUCAAUAUUUGGAUCCAGCUCAGGAGUCUUCCCUGUCGUUGGAGUGGAACCUCCCUGAAGGGAGGUCCCCGCCCCUGGGCCCGGAGGGAUGGGCCCCCCGCCCCAGUCCUGGGCAGCAGGUUCUGACCUGAUCGUUCCUGAGCGGGACAGUGAGAGCAACAGGACCUGCUCACGAUCCCUCUCAGCUGUCUGGUGGGGAAGAGUGGAGUCAAGAGGAGAGGAGAGGAAAGGGGGCUGCCAGCCAUGAGGCCCACAUGUUUCAGCCGAAGCCACUUGAAGCCACGUGGACAGAGGGACCCACAGCAUCCUCUCUAGCAGCCCCCGGGUACAUAGUUGUAUAUUCUUCGUUGUGGGUCCUCCUAGAUGUGGAAUGUGGGAUGCCGCCUCAGCGUGGUUUGAUGAGCGGUGCCAUGUCCGUGCCCUGGAUGCGAACCAACGAAACACUGGGCCGCCUGCAGCGGAGCGUGCGAACUUAACCACUCGGCCACAGGGCCAGCCCACCGUUAUCUUCUUUUGAGGACAGCUGUUGUGGCGCCCUGGCCAUCCCAAAAGCUCCAGCAUUCCAUUUCAAGGAUCUCUUGCUGGCUUCCCUCCUACCAUCAUUCCUCUGAGAGAACGUGGCCUUGAGAACAAGGAGUGGAGAGCUGCCAGCUACUGCCACCUGACACAGAGCCUCAUUGCCCUUGCCUGUCUCCUUCCCCUGUCCAUCUUCAGUGUAGGGUCAAGAAGUGGGCCACUCCUUCCUUUUAUCCGAGGUGGACUUCUUGUUUUCUCCCCCCAGAGGUUGCCACGUGUCUAAUUGCCCAUCAAGCUAGAGUGGUGGAGGGAAAUUGGUAUCAAAGAGUUUUUGCUGAAUGCUUGAAUGGACGACGGCUUAGAGAACUGACUGAAGUUUGAGCGGGAAACAGGAAGACAAGGCCAACGUCAUUUAGCCCACCAAAUACCCUCAUGCCCUUUGGGAAGAAGAAAGAUGAAUAUGGAAGAAGCAGAAAAGGAUGAGUUUAAAUUGAGGCAUAAAGAACAUAGAACUAAAUAAGUAAGACCUCAAAAGUCCCUUAGUCAUCAUCUAAUCCAGACCUUUAUUUUUUUAGCAGAGGGCAUCAAACCCCCAAGGGGAUCGUGACCUUAGUGACCUCCUUAAGAUCACAGGGCCAGAGUGAGGCCUUGGGUCUCUUGACUAUUUUGAUCUCAACGAGAUGUUGGUCUCCUCUUCUCCACAUUCACCUCAAACUCAUUUAUUCCAGAAAACUACCUUACCUAACCCAGGGGUCCAGUUAGCACCAAAGUGAUCUAAACUAACCUUGAGUUUACUGUCCUUGGGUCCAUUUUGGCAAUUGCCUCGUGGCCUCAAGACUACCCCCACUUAGAAAGAAUGGGUGAGGGUAGCCAAAGCCAAAUGUACAGGGCCAGUUUUACCCCAGGCUGGCCCAGGAGAGGUUUGGCUUGGGUUAUUACCAAGGUGCGAGGUCUCACCUCCUAGGAGUUUGUUCCAGGGGUCUGCAGUCAUCGGAAUACGCAGUCUUGAGCAGAGGUGUCUAGACCUUGUCGAAUGAUCAGAGACCGGGACGUGAACACACAUUUUACCCCUUUAUAAUGACUUGGGUGUGCCAAACAGGACCCAUCACCCCCAAGUCCUAGCCUAGGAUUUUCUAACCAAGUAUAUAGUUAGAGGAAAAUGUAAUCCACGUGUAUCUGACUCACUCAUCCCUAAAUUAUCCUAAAGUUCCAUUCUGGGAAUGGUUUGAUAUGUACUCUGCUUUUUUUCAUCUUUUGGAAUCUUGAAUUGGCCAAGACAAAAUAAAAAGCCAUCCUGAGAGAUGGAAGGACUCUUCAAGUAGAGGCAUGACCUGUAGGCUCCUCCCCAAGGCCUCCUGGGACAGGAAGCCCAGCAGGGCAGGGAGCAUGCCAGAACCCAGAAACAUACCUUUAUUAGUCAUCUCCCAGCUCCCCUUCUGCUUGUACUUCUGCGAUGCUGUGCCCUACUGAGGAAAAUCACCCAGUGCGGAAGAUGGUGUCACUACAGAUUUAUGGCAUCUGGACUCUGUUGCACCCCCAAGAGUACGGAGAGAUCCCAUCAGGAGGUACCUGGCACUCAGCUGUGAGCUGGAUGUCACAGGAAGCCACCGUUCCCAAGGAAAAGGGAAGGCAGCUCCUGGGAAGCUCCGAAGUGGAGGCAAAGGCCAUCAUGACAACGUGGUGAGCAGGCGCUUCCUCCAUUUGCCCAGGACUUGCUGAGAACAUCAUUCCAGAAGUAGGCAGGUCUCUACUGCCACCCGGGUGCAUGCAGUGUGCGUUCUGAUGGGUCCAACCCUGAGCAGAGCAGCUGGGCCACCCCAGAGCAGCUGCGAGCCCUUGGAGAUGGCCCGAGAUUGGACAAGCGCUGGAAUGAGGGCCUGGGCGCUGCUCCCAGCAUCUGCCCUUGGAAGGAGGCAGCGCAGCUGGGGUUUGAGAGAUUUUCCUUCCCCAGCUGAGACCCACUGCAGCCUGUCGUAGGGGUACAGGUAAGGAGCGGGUGGGCCGGGAGGGGCGGAGGGGGUCCUUCCUGCCAGGCUGACCUCGGCCGGUAAUGCGAUCAGCCUGUCAUGGUUCUGAGCCCUGAUUUGGGAAGAACAAAGAGGCCAGGCCCCUCUGCCUCCUCUGGCCCAGGAAUGCAGCUGGGGCCAGGCCGUGACCAAUCGGGAAUGCAGGUUGGGAGUGCAGCAAAUGCAGUUUGUCCAGCGAGGCUUUCAUGCGUUGAUGGGAGCCGGGCUCACAAAGCCAGGCUGACAUGCCCCCACGAUUCCAGCUUUGAUAUCCCAGCCCCGCCUUGGGGGAGCCGCCCAUCCCCAAGCUGUCUGGCCCCCACUGCCCUGCUGUGGCCCGUGAGGUGGUGGUGGGGGGAGUGGAGAGUCCAGAUCCAUCCCCCCCUAACCCCACUAGUGUUCCCAGGUGCCGACAUCUCCUUUUCCAUCUCGAUCCAUCUCGGGAAGUCUGACAAAUAGGCAGGAGGAAGAAGGGAGCUGCUCCUCAGCAUUAGGGAGAGAUCAAUGAAUGGACAGACAGAUGUCCCAUGGGAGAGGCUGCCAGGCCUCAGGCAGCCACUGCUGGCUGCUCAGAAGAGAUCACAGAAACCUCUUGAGGCCACCCCCUCCAGGGAGAUGAAUAAUGUUGGGGUUGGGGCUCUGACUCCUAGGUUUGACGGCUGAAUGCUUUCUGCAUUACAAAGCUCUUCGCCUCCCCUCCCCACCCUCCACAUCUAGUACUACUGGCAAGUUCUGUCCGUGUGGGGUCCUCGGGCCUGCCCUUCUCUGCCCUCCCAAUUAUCCGCUGCCCCCUGCCCUGCUGCCUCCUCCAGCCUCCCUGUGCUUCCUCUCUUCCUGAGUGGGAAUAGGAACAGUGCCUUACAGUUUACAAGGCAAGCUUCCAUACACCAGAUCAUGUGAUCUUCAGAAGAACGCCAUGAAGUAAGAACUCUGAUCCUCAUUUCGUGCAGGAUGGGAAGAGGAAGGGAGGGGGUGGAAACCUUUGGAGGCAAGAAGUUUAAGGAUGCUGGAUGGCAUGCUUGCUGAUGUUACUGUUGCCUCAGAGGAUGGCAGGACUGGAGAUGGUGAGGAUGUCAGGGCGGGAGCUUAAGUAGUCCAUGAGGUGGGGACCAGGCGCUUGGGAAUUUUCUAUCUCCGGUGCCUGGAGCACUGGAGGCACUUAAAUGUUUGUUGACUAAUUGAACGUGUCCAGUGUGUGCCUGCUUUAUCCCCCCCUGCCUUGGGCUUGCUCUCAUGAAAAGACCUGAAAGCUACACAGAGACGUAAAUGACUGAUGACGGCUUUUCAGGCUGCCCCUCAAAGAGGUUAGUUCUUAUGUUCGUUACAGGUGCGGUUUCAGUGAGGAGAUACGGAGACGCUCUACAAUGAGAAGAGCCACACAAAGAGGAUGGGGAGAGGGCAGAGAGACCCCUGAUCUUCCAGGGGCUCAGAAGCUCCCAGCCAGGAUUCAUAGGAAGGAGACCGAUGGAGCAGAAAGCAAGCCCAGGAGGAGCCCUGGCGUUCCCUCCAUAAUCCCUCCCCCAGAGUCACGGAAUGUUAGAAGGGGGGGCACCUUAGAAACGAUCCAGACAUUUGGUUAAAAAAAAGAGAGAGAAAAUGUCCCUUAUCUCUGCUGCUCUUUGUGUUGGUUUCAUUCUCUCAGGUCCUCUGGUAGCUCCUGGGGUUUUGUCAUCCCAACUUCCUAACCAGAAAGAAGAUAGGCCUUCUCUGUCCUGGAUCCAGUGUGAGGGAUCCUGGGAAAGAAUUCUGCAUUGGUUCAGCUUGAGGGUGCUCACCACCCUAGGACCAGUCACGGUGGCCCCGGAAACAGGAUGACCCAGCGCAUAUUUGAUCUACAGGCUAAAGGAUGCAGAAGGAGAAAUGGUUCCCCAAGGCAGAGGAAUAUGGCAGACACAGCCACUGUGUGCAUGGUGAGCUAGGCAAUCACCCCAGGUUGGGUCUACCACAAAGCAAGUUCAUUACAGCAUUCAGAAACACCUGUGUGUUUACUGAUAUGGAAACAGGUGAAUAAAUUAUGGUACCUCUUAUGGAAUCCUGCACAGCUGUUAAAAAGAUUGAAGUAGAACUAUACAUGUCUCAAUGGAAAAUAUCCAUAAUACAUUAAGGUAUAAAAAAAAAAGCAUGUUUGGGGCUGGCCCAGUAGCACAGCGGUUAAGUGCACACAUUCUGCUUCUUGGCAGCCCGAGGUUCGCCAGUUCAGAUCCCCGGGGCGGACAUGGCACUGCUUGGCACACCAUGCUGUGGUAGGCGUUCCACGUAUAAAGUAGAGGAAGAUGGGCACGGAUGUUAGCUCAGGGCCAGGCUUCCUCAGCAAAAAAGAGGAGGACUGGCAGUAGUUAGCUCAGGGCUAAUCUUCCUCAAAAAAAAAAAAGCAUGUUUCAGAAGAAUCUGUAUAGUAUUAGCUCAUUUAUGUAAAACAGAGCAAAAUAAAACCCU